rnacentral:rRNA from 1 species
AUGGCCUUCGUUGAUGUGUCCACAUCAAAGAACCUCAACGGGCUCAUUGGUGUCGGCGAGGCGCUGCUAAAGAGGCAGAUGUGCAUGGUGAACGUCGAGACUGGCAAGAACGAGCCCAAUCUAAAGAGGGGCACUAACGAGGAGGAACUGGCCCGUUUCGCUCGCAUGCUGUCGGAAAAGCGCAAAGCCAGAUUUCAGAAGUUGGCCAACGAACUUGGUGGAUAG